CUCUCCAGAACUGGAAAGAGGGGCCAGAGUGAGCGGACACUGUCCUGGACACUGGGCCCAGGGAACUCUCCAGAACUGGAAAGAGGGGCCAGAGUGAGUGGACACUGUCCUGGACACUGGGCCCAGGGAACUCUCCAGAACUGGAAAGAGGGGCCAGAGUGAGCAGACACUGUCCUGGACAGAUGCUACAGAGUGGAUCAGGUGUGAGCUCUCCGCCACUGCUCCAGCAUGAUGCUUGCAUGCCUGUCUGCCUACUUGUCUGUCUUCCUGCCACAGUCCACCCCACUAUGAUGCUUAUGGACUUGAACUUUGAACCUGUAAGCAAGCUCCCAAAUAAUUGGUCAUGACAUCUCACAGCAAUAGAACAGUAACUAAGACACCACUCCUACUACACUGCUCUUCUCCAUCUCAGUUUCACUGUUGACUCUGCUAAGUGGAAGGCAAGGAUGGCAAGGAUGGCUGCCAGAAGCUCCAGACUAUCAUCCUCCAUGGUACGGGUUUCUAGUGGGAAAAAUAAACAGCAUCUCUUCCUAGCAA